ACCCUCUCAGGAUCGCACCUGGAGAGUUCUUAGAACUCUACCAGUCUCAGCUCCGGGAGGGAGAGUCAAGCAGAAGAAUAUCCAUUCCACUCCUAGCUGGGGCAGUGGCUAGCGAAUGGAAGGCCAUCUUCUACAAGU